UUGAGAGGAGAAGCCCGGAGAUGGGUACUGAGACAAGGACCCAGGCCCUAUGGGGCGCAGCAGGCGAGAAAACUUUGCAAUGUGCGAAAGCACGACAAGGUUAAUCCGAGUGAUUUCUGCUAAAGAAAUCUUUUGUUAGUUCUAAAAAUACUAGUGAAUAAGGGGUGGGCAAGUUCUGGUGUCAGCCGCCGCGGUAAAACCAGCACCUCAAGUGGUCAGGAGGAUUAUUGGGCCUAAAGCAUCCGUAGCCUGUUCUAUAAGUUUGCGGUUAAAUCUAUGCGCUCAACGUAUAGGCUGCUGUAAAUACUGUAGAACUAGGGAGUGGGAGAGGUAGACGGUACUCAGUAGGAAGGGGUAAAAUCCUUUGAUCUAUUGAUGACCACCUGUGGCGAAGGCGGUCUACCAGAACACGUUCGACGGUGAGGGAUGAAAGCUGGGGGAGCAAACCGGAUUAGAUACCCGGGUAGUCCCAGCUGUAAACGAUGCAGACUCGAUGAUGCAAUGGCAUAGAGCUAUUGCAGUAUCGCAGGGAAGCCGUUAAGUCUGCCGCCUGGGAAGUACGUACGCAAGUAUGAAACUUAAAGGAAU
rnacentral:rRNA from 1 species